AUCAGCUUUGUUACAAGACUGUGCUAACAAGUUUGUUACAGCCAUGAUAUAACAAGGAUGUUACAAGGUUGUCAACAGAAGGUUGUAACAAUCUUGUUAUAUCAAGCAUGUAACGGACUUGUCAGAACAACCUUGCAACAAGUCUGAU